AUUGAACGCUGGCGGCAUGCCUUACACAUGCAAGUCGAACGGCAGCACGGGAGCAAUCCUGGUGGCGAGUGGCGAACGGGUGAGUAAAGUAUCGGAACGUGCCCAGUCGUGGGGGAUAACGUAGCGAAAGUUACGCUAAUACCGCAUACGAUCUAUGGAUGAAAGCGGGGGAUCGCAAGACCUCGCGCGAUUGGAGCGGCCGAUAUCAGAUUAGGUAGUUGGUGGGGUAAGGGCUCACCAAGCCGACGAUCUGUAGCUGGUCUGAGGGGACGACCAGCCACACUGGGACUGAGACACGGCCCAGACUCCUACGGGAGGCAGCAGUGGGGAAUUUUGGACAAUGGGCGAAAGCCUGAUCCAGCCAUGCCGCGUGCAGGAUGAAGGCCUUCGGGUUGUAAACUGCUUUUGUACGGAACGAAAAGGUUUGGCCUAAUAAGCUGAGCUCAUGACGGUACCGUAAGAAUAAGCACCGGCUAACUACGUGCCAGCAGCCGCAGUAA
rnacentral:rRNA from 1 species